UAGAAUGGGUAUAUAUAUAUAUAUAUAUAUAUAUAUAUAUAUAUAUAUAUACACACACUCAUAUAUAUAUAUACACAUACUCAUAUAUAUAUACUCAUAUAUAUACUCAUAUAUAUAUACUCAUAUAUAUAUACUCAUAUAUAUACUCAUAUAUAUAUAUAUACUCAUAUAUAUACUCAUAUAUAUAUACUCAUAUAUAUACUCAUAUAUAUACUCAUAUAUAUAUACUCAUAUAUAUACUCAUAUAUAUACUCAUAUAUAUACUCAUAUAUAUAUAUACUCAUAUAUAUAUACUCAUAUAUAUACUCUAUAUACUCAUAUAUAUACUCAUAUAUAUACUCAUAUAUAUAUACUCAUAUAUAUAUACUCAUAUAUAUACUCAUAUAUAUAUACUCAUAUAUAUACUUAUAUAUAUAUACUCAUAUAUAUACUCAUAUAUAUAUACUCAUAUAUAUACUCAUAUAUAUAUACUCAUAUAUAUACUCAUAUAUAUAUACUCAUAUAUAUAUACUCAUAUAUAUAUACUCAUA
rnacentral:lncRNA from 1 species